rnacentral:rRNA from 1 species
UCCGGUUGAUCCUGCCAGACCCCACCGCUAUCGGGGUGGGACUAAGCCAUGCGAGUCGGCGCCCUCCAGCCACCGGGGAGGGCGCGGCGGACGGCUCCGUAACACGUAGCUAACCUACCCUCAGGAUGGGAAUAACCCCGGGAAACUGGGGCUAAUUCCCAAUAGGUGAGGGCGCCUGGAAUGGUCCCUCACCGAAAGGGCUCCGGAACCAUGCUUCCGGAGCCGCCUGAGGAUGGGGCUGCGGCCGAUCAGGUAGUUGGUGGGGUAACGGCCCACCAAGCCUAAGACCGGUACGGGCCGUGAGAGCGGGAGCCCGGAGAUGGGCACUGAGACAAGGGCCCAGGCCCUACGGGGCGCAGCAGGCGCGAAACCUCCGCAAUGCGCGCAAGCGUGACGGGGCUACCCCGAGUGCCGCCCGCUGAGGGCGGCUUUUCCCCAGUGUAAACAGCUGGGGGAAUAAGGGGAGGGCAAGUCGGGUGUCAGCCGCCGCGGUAAUACCCGCUCCCCGAGUGGUGGGGACGAUUAUUGGGCUUAAAGCGUCCGUAGCCGGCCUGGCAAGUCUCUCGUUAAAUCCAACGGCCUAACCGUUGGACUGCGGGAGACACUGCCAGGCUAGGGGGCGGGAGAGGCCGGCGGUAUUCCCGGGGUAGGGGUAAAAUCCUGUAAUCCCGGGAGGACCACCAGUGGCGAAGGCGGC